rnacentral:misc_RNA from 1 species
CACCGCGACACGCAACAACAGGCGGCUGAUCGCCGUCGUGCUCGGCGCACAGUCGUCCGCGCAGCGUGCGGCGAAGGCAGCGCAACUGCUCGAACGCGGCUUCGGCGGCAACAAGCUGUCCUGGCUGAAGCCAUCGCUCGGCACCGUCGAUGCGCCCGAUCGACGCCUCGCCGCCGAACCUGCGCGACGAGAUGUGCGGACCGAAGCGCAAGCGCCCGGCCGCCGAGAACGAAGAAGACGAUCCGGAUAUCGUGGCGGACAAUAACAGCAGCAAUAACGAAGCCAGUGUGUCGAUGUUCACGGCCGGACUUCAGGCUCCGACCAUGAAGGUGUCUGACCUGCUCGCGAU